rnacentral:piRNA from 1 species
CGCUAGGUCUUGAUACUCCUGAGGGGUCUU